rnacentral:rRNA from 1 species
GGGGUUGGCAACGACCCCCCAGAGCCGGAAAGUUGGUCAAACCCGGUCAUUUAGAGGAAGUAAAAGUCGUAACAAGGUUUCCGUAGGUGAACCUGCGGAAGGAUCAUUACCGAGUGCGGGUCUUUAUGGCCCAACCUCCCACCCGUGACUAUUGUACCUUGUUGCUUCGGCGGGCCCGCCAGCGUUGCUGGCCGCCGGGGGGCGACUCGCCCCCGGGCCCGUGCCCGCCGGAGACCCCAACAUGAACCCUGUUCUGAAAGCUUGCAGUCUGAGUGUGAUUCUUUGCAAUCAGUUAAAACUUUCAACAAUGGAUCUCUUGGUUCCGGCAUCGAUGAAGAACGCAGCGAAAUGCGAUAACUAAUGUGAAUUGCAGAAUUCAGUGAAUCAUCGAGUCUUUGAACGCACAUUGCGCCCCCUGGUAUUCCGGGGGGCAUGCCUGUCCGAGCGUCAUUGCUGCCCUCAAGCCCGGCUUGUGUGUUGGGCCCUCGUCCCCCGGCUCCCGGGGGACGGGCCCGAAAGGCAGCGGCGGCACCGCGUCCGGUCCUCGAGCGUAUGGGGCUUCGUCUUCCGCUCCGUAGGCCCGGCCGGCGCCCGCCGACGCAUUUAUUUGCAACUUGUUUUUUUCCAGGUUGACCUCGGAUCAGGUAGGGAUACCCGCUGAACUUAAGCAUAUCAAUAAGCGGAGGAAAAGAAACCAACCGGGAUUGCCUCAGUAACGGCGAGUGAAGCGGCAAGAGCUCAAAUUUGAAAGCUGGCUCCUUCGGGGUCCGCAUUGUAAUUUGCAGAGGAUGCUUCGGGUGCAGCCCCCGUCUAAGUGCCCUGGAACGGGCCGUCAUAGAGGGUGAGAAUCCCGUAUGGGGCGGGGUGUCUGCGUCCGUGUGAAGCUCCUUCGACGAGUCGAGUUGUUUGGGAAUGCAGCUCUAAAUGGGUGGUAAAUUUCAUCUAAAGCUAAAUACUGGCCGGAGACCGAUAGCGCACAAGUAGAGUGAUCGAAAGAUGAAAAGCACUUUGAAAAGAGAGUUAAACAGCACGUGAAAUUGUUGAAAGGGAAGCGCUUGCAACCAGACUCGCUCGCGGGGUUCAGCCGGGCUUCGGCCCGGUGUACUUCCCCGCGGGCGGGCCAGCGUCGGUUUGGGCGGCCGGUCAAAGGCCUCCGGAAUGUAGCGCCCUUCGGGGCGCCUUAUAGCCGGGGGUGCAAUGCGGCCAGCCUGGACCGAGGAACGCGCUUCGGCACGGACGCUGGCAUAAUGGUUGUAAACGACCCGUCUUGAAACACGGACCAAGGAGUCUAACAUCUACGCGAGUGUUCGGGUGUCAAACCCGUACGCGCAGUGAAAGCGAACGGAGGUGGGAGCCCCCUCGCGGGGCGCACCAUCGACCGAUCCUGAUGUCUUCGGAUGGAUUUGAGUACGAGCGUAGCUGUGGGGACCCGAAAGAUGGUGAACUAUGCCUGAAUAGGGCGAAGCCAGAGGAAACUCUGGUGGAGGCUCGCAGCGGUUCUGACGUGCAAAUCGAUCGUCAAAUUUGGGUAUAGGGGCGAAAGACUAAUCGAACCAUCUGGUAGCUGGUUCCUGCCGAAGUUUCCCUCAGGAUAGCAGUAACGCGGAUCAGUUUUAUGAGGUAAAGCGAAUGAUUAGAGGCAUUGGGGUUGAAACAACCUUAACCUAUUCUCAAACUUUAAAUAUGUAAGAAGCGCUUGUUGCUUAG